GUGCCAGCAGCCGCGGUAAUACGGAGGAUCCAAGCGUUAUCCGGAUUUAUUGGGUUUAAAGGGUGCGUAGGCGGCCUAUUAAGUCAGGGGUGAAAGACGGUAGCUUAACUAUCGCAGUGCCCUUGAUACUGAUGGGCUUGAAUAUACUAGAGGUAGGCGGAAUGUGACAAGUAGCGGUGAAAUGCAUAGAUAUGUCACAGAACACCAAUUGCGAAGGCAGCUUACUAUGGUAUUAUUGACGCUGAGGCACGAAAGCGUGGGGAUCAAACAGGAUUAGAUACCCCCGUAGUCC
rnacentral:rRNA from 1 species